UCGACCCAACCCGACGAAGGGAGUAGGUCCCCAAGGAGUGAACGGUAACUGGGGUG
rnacentral:rRNA from 1 species